rnacentral:rRNA from 1 species
UACGUAGGGUGCGAGCGUUAAUCGGAAUACUGGGCGUAAAGCGUGCGCAGGCGGUUCGUUGUGUCGGCGGUGAAAGCCCCGGGCUCAACCUGGGAAUGGCCGUUGAAACUGGCGAACUGGAGUGUGGCAGAGGGGGGUGGAAUUCCGCGUGUAGCGGUGAAAUGCGUAGAGAUGUGGAGGAACACCGAUGGCGAAGGCAGCCUCCUGGGCCAACACUGACGCUCAUGCACGAAAGCGUGGGGAGCAAACAGG